rnacentral:rRNA from 1 species
GAUGAACGCUGGCGGCGUGCCUAAUACAUGCAAGUCGAGCGAACAGACGAGGAGCUUGCUCCUCUGACGUUAGCGGCGGACGGGUGAGUAACACGUGGAUAACCUACCUAUAAGACUGGGAUAACUUCGGGAAACCGGAGCUAAUACCGGAUAAUAUAUUGAACCGCAUGGUUCAAUAGUGAAAGACGGUUUUGCUGUCACUUAUAGAUGGAUCCGCGCCGCAUUAGCUAGUUGGUAAGGUAACGGCUUACCAAGGCAACGAUGCGUAGCCGACCUGAGAGGGUGGUCGGCCACACUGGAACUGAGACACGGUCCAGACUCCUACGGGAGGCAGCAGUAGGGAAUCUUCCGCAAUGGGCGAAAGCCUGACGGAGCAACGCCGAGUGAGUGAUGAAGGUCUUCGGAUCGUAAAACUCUGUUAUUAGGGAAGAACAAAUGUGUAAGUAACUAUGCACGUCUUGACGGUACCUAAUCAGAAAGCCACGGCUAACUACGUG